AACGCACAUUGCGCCCUUCGGCAUUCCGAAGGGCAUGCCUGUCCGAGCGUCAGCAAAAAACCUCAGUCGAGACCCUUUUUUUUUCUUUUGGGGGGUCCCGGUGAUGGCGCUGAGGUGCUUUUUCGGAAGCACCCUCGCCGAAAUUUAUCGGUGGGCGAAGACGUGUUGUGGUUAAAACCGCCUUGGUGGACGCGAAGAGAAAUUUUUUUUCCCGCUCCGUAACCUUUGCCGGUCCACACUUGACGUUGAAGCUUCUACCCGAUCUAGAAAUGGACGAGAGAGGGGGGAUUUCCCCCCCCCUUUCCAACCUGGUGUUUGACCUCGGAUCAGGCAGGGAUACCCGCUGAACUUAA
rnacentral:misc_RNA from 1 species